AGAGUUUGAUCCUGGCUCAGAACGAACGUUAGCGGCGCGCCUAACACAUGCAAGUCGAGCGAGAAAGGGCUUCGGCCCCGGUACAGCGGCGCACGGGUGAGUAACACGUAGGUAAUCUACCCCUGAAUGGUGGAUAACCCUCCGAAAGGAGGGCUAAUACAGCAUAAGACCACGGCUUCCUUGGAGGCUGAGGCCAAAGCGGGCCACUUUACAAAAGCUCGCGUUUGGGGAUGAGCCUGCGGCCCAUCAGCUAGUUGGCGGUGUAAAGGACCACCAAGGCUAAGACGGGUAGCUGGUCUGAGAGGAUGAACAGCCACACUGGAACUGAGACACGGUCCAGACUCCUACGGGAGGCAGCAGUGGGGAAUCUUGCGCAAUGGGCGAAAGCCUGACGCAGCGACGCCGCGUGAGUGAUGAAGGCCUUCGGGUUGUAAA
rnacentral:rRNA from 1 species